AGAGUUUGAUCAUGGCUCAGAUUGAACGCUGGCGGCAUGCCUAACACAUGCAAGUCGAACGGCAGCACAGUAGAGCUUGCUCUAUGGGUGGCGAGUGGCGGACGGGUGAGUAAUGCAUCGGGAUCUACCCAAACGUGGGGGAUAACGUAGGGAAACUUACGCUAAUACCGUAUACGUCCUAAGGGAGAAAGCGGGGGACCGAAAGGCCUCGCGCGGUUGGACGAACCGAUGUGCGAUUAGCUAGUUGGUAGGGUAAUGGCCUACCAAGGCGACGAUCGCUAGCUGGUCUGAGAGGAUGAUCAGCCACACUGGAACUGAGACACGGUCCAGACUCCUACGGGAGGCAGCAGUGGGGAAUAUUGGACAAUGGGCGCAAGCCUGAUCCAGCAAUGCCGCGUGUGUGAAGAAGGCCUUCGGGUUGUAAAGCACUUUUAUCAGGAGCGAAAUACCAUUGGCUAAUAACCGAUGGGGCUGACG
rnacentral:rRNA from 1 species